CCGAGCCCUCAGAAACUCAUACAGAGCAUAUAGUGGACACAUACUGAAGCCAAGUCUUCCUAGCCACACUUCAUAGAGCAUAUAGUGGGUACAUAUACUGCUCACAGCAACUUGUACAUAGAGCAUAUAGCAGAGACACGGUCUUUGCAGGUGAUAUCAGCCCUAUGUCCAUAGGGUUUAAAUGACAAAACUCACUAUAGGGAAAGCGGUCCAAAACAUUACCCAUCCUGAAAUAAAAGCUUGUUAUCUCCGUUCUCUUUUCCACGUAGCUUCAUAUGUAAAUUAAGUGUAUAAACUUUUAUAGAGAUCAUUUUGAAGGAAAGAUUAAUCUUACCUCAAAAUGCCUGAGCUGUGGGGGGCUGG